AUUGAACGCUGGCGGCAGGCCUAACACAUGCAAGUCGAGCGGCAGAAGAGUGCUUGCUUGCGGUUUCAGGUGCCGACGGGCGAGCAAUGCCUAGGAACAUGCCUGUCUGCUUGGGCUAACGUCCUAAAACGGGCGCACAUACGCCAUUCGCCCUGAGGGCGUACGUGUGGGAUCUUGGGAUCUUCCGCUCUUAGACGAGUCGAUGUCGGAUUAGCUAGUUGGGGGGGUAAAGGCCUACCAAGGCGACAAUCCGUAACUGGUCUGAGAGGAUGAUCAGUCACACUGGAACUGAGACACGGUCCAGACUCCUACGGGAGGCAGCAGUGGGGAAUAUUGGACAAUGGGCGCAAGCCUGAUCCAGCCAUACCGCGUGUGUGAAGAAGGUCUUCGGAUUGUAAAGCACUUUUGGUUGGGAAGAAGAGCAGUAAGUUAAUACCUUGCUGUUUUGACGUUACCCACAGAAUAAGCACCGGCUAACUUCGUG
rnacentral:rRNA from 1 species